GCAGCUUGGGUGCCGCCCCGCCCCGCCCGCCUGCGGCCCCGCCCCAGCCCAGGUGCACCGCUCCGCCCCACCUCAGAUUAUAAGAACAGUGAAUGGAACUCAAAGAGGAGUGUUUUUAAAGACAUACCAUCAUUGGGAUUGAGAUUCACAAUGGAGGUUCCCCCAGCAACCAAGUUUAGUGAGACCUUUGUUUUUGAGGACAGGUUAGAAGCACAGCAAGAACUUUUCCCAGGGGAAGACCUGGGAGACCCCUUUCUUCAGGAAAGAGGCUUGGAACAAAUGGCUGUUAUUUAUAAGGAGAUCCCCCUUGGGGAGCAGGACUUGGAACAUGAUGAUUAUGAGGGGAAUUUCAGUCUCUGUUCCAGCCCUGUUCAGCCUCAGAGUAUCCUCUCAGGAGCCAGACCCCAGGAUGAGGAGAUAUUUGGCCAAGCCUUUCUCGAGAAACCUGACAUCAGUGUGUGUCAGAUCAUCCAUAGUGAAGAUUGCAGUCCACAAGCUCCUGAAGAAGCAGACAGGGGAGACUUGGAACCUAAUGCCCCUCACAGAACCCCACAGCCAGCCAAGCCCUAUGCAUGUCGUGAGUGUGGGAAGGCAUUCAGCCAGAGCUCACACCUUCUGCGACACUUGGUCAUCCACACUGGGGAGAAGCCCUACGAGUGCUGCGAGUGUGGCAAGGCCUUCAGCCAGAGCUCUCAUCUUCUCCGCCAUCAGAUCAUCCACACUGGCGAGAAGCCAUAUGAAUGCCAGGAAUGUGGGAAGGCCUUCCGACAGAGCUCAGCCCUCUCACAACACCAGAAAAUCCACACGGGGAAGAGGCCCUAUGAGUGCAGGGAGUGCGGGAAGGAUUUCAGCCGGAGCUCCAGCCUCAGAAAACAUGAGCGAAUUCACACAGGAGAGAGACCUUAUCAGUGUAAGGAAUGUGGGAAAUCCUUCAACCAGAGUUCAGGCCUGAGCCAGCAUCGGAAAAUCCACACUCUAAAGAAACCCCAUGAAUGUGAUCUCUGUGGAAAAGCCUUUUGUCAUAGGUCCCACCUCAUCCGGCACCAGCGGAUUCACACAGGGAAGAAACCUUACAAAUGUGAAGAGUGUGGAAAGGCCUUCAGCCAGAGCUCCAACCUCAUUGAACAUCGGAAGACCCACACUGGUGAAAAACCCUACAAGUGCCAUAAAUGUGGGAAAGCUUUCAGCCAGAGCUCUUCGCUUAUUGAGCACCAGCGGAUCCAUACUGGGGAGAAGCCCUAUGAGUGCUGUCAGUGCGGCAAGGCUUUCUGCCACAGCUCUGCGCUGAUUCAGCACCAGCGGAUCCACACUGGCAAGAAGCCUUAUGCCUGUGAGUGCGGCAAGGCCUUCAGGCACAGGUCUGCUCUCAUUGAGCAUUAUAAAACCCAUACCAGAGAGAAGCCCUAUGUGUGCAAUCUGUGUGGCAAGUCCUUCCGAGGAAGCUCACACUUGAUCCGGCAUCAGAAGGUCCAUGCUGGGGAGAAGCUCUAGAAGGAGAAGUCCCACCACAACUUGGAAGCCUUUGCUAGAUAGAGUCCAUAUCCAUGUCACUUUGUCUCUAAGACCCCACCUAUUUCCCUGAUGACCUUGCCAGGUGGACACCUUCCAACAGGACCCUCCUGAGCAUCCCUGUUAUCAGGAAGCCCCAUGUAUCAUCAUGGUCUCAACAGAUUUCCUGGGUAGAAGGGAAGGAGAAUCAGGGGAGCACUGAGGGUGGAAUCCAGGACCUUAAGCAUGCUAGACAGACACUCUACCCCUGACGUACACUCUAGCUCUUUGCCAUCUUUUAAUUGAAUUGUUUGCUUUUGUUUUUACUGUCUUACAUUU